rnacentral:rRNA from 1 species
CGCGUAGGCGGCUUUAUAAGUCUGGAGUGAAAGUCCUCUUUUCAAGGGAGGAAUUGCUUUGGAAACUAUAGAGCUUGAGUGCAGGAGAGGUUAUCGGAAUUCCCGGUGUAGCGGUGAAAUGCGUAGAUAUCGGGAGGAACAUCGGUGGCGAAGGCGGGUAACUGGACGGUAACUGACGUUGAGGCUCGAAAGCGUGGGGAGCAAACAA